UACGUAGGGCGCAAGCGUUUAUCCGGAAUUAUUGGGCGUAAAGAGCUCGUAGGCGGUUUGUCGCGUCUGCCGUGAAAGUCCGGGGCUCAACUCCGGAUCUGCGGUGGGUACGGGCAGACUAGAGUGAUGUAGGGGGAGACUGGAAUUCCUGGUGUAGCGGUGAAAUGCGCAGAUAUCGGGAGGAACACCGAUGGCGAAGGCAGGUCUCUGGGCCGAUACUGACGCUGAGGAGCGAAAGCGUGGGGAGCGAACAGG
rnacentral:rRNA from 1 species